CUCAUCCAUAAAGAUUGACGACGCACCUGUUGACGACCCAUCGUUAAAGGUUUUGGUACCAAAUAACAGCGGCACUUUGAAACGAGUUAAAUGAGCAGUUGUCCACACGUCUCUCCUGCUGUACAAGAUCCUGUUUGGACCUCAGCUUUACUAAACUUCAACUUAUUGCCGGCCCUGCUACAACUGCUGACCCAUUCAAAAGAUGUCUUCCUGAUGGUUGCCACAGUUUUGCAUAACAUCGCAGAUCUGGGGUCGGCUUAUUGUCACCACUGAGGGAGAAAGGAAUUUUGCCGUGUUUAACCCCAACUCUGCGUGAUGACGACAUACAAGUGGCAAGGCUAAGCCUAGAAUUACUGAAUACGCUUUUCACAUACUGUCC